UAUAUACUUUGAUUACUGAUUCAUUAGUGUAAUGAAGAAUUAGGCCCUUAGUGUAGUGUAAGGAAAUAUUUAUGCUAGGGUGUGUACAUUAGGUGUGUCCGAGUGAGGUCCUAAGUAUUGAAGUUUUGCAUAGGGUAAUUAAAAUUUCACAGUUGAGUUGUGUCGAAAUGUGUUUCUGGGUUUAAUUUAAAAUUACCGUUGGAUUCUAUCCUGUUCAUAUGAUCAAAUCAUAAUUAAGUUUGUGAUAAUUUACUAUUUAAGUUUGUGAUAAUUUACUAUCAUUUCGUAAAACUACCUUGCCCUGCUGUUAAGGAUAGAUUCUUUUUUCACUUUGAUAUAUAUGCAGAAUUGAAGUUAGAA
rnacentral:misc_RNA from 1 species